rnacentral:rRNA from 1 species
UUUGUACCGAAGCUUGGGCUUGAUACAUUCGUAUCAGGGGUAGGGGAGCGUCAUGUAUGAGGUGAAGUCGUAGCGGAAGCGGCGGUGGAUUGUACAUGAGAGAGAAUGCCGGAAUGAGUAGCGAGAAUUAUGUGAGAAUCAUAAUGGCCGAAAAUCUAAGGUUUCCUGAGGAAGGUUCGUCCGCUCAGGGUAAGCCGGGAGCUAAGGUGAGGCGGAAACGCGUAGCCGAUGCACAUACGGUAGAGAUUCCGUAGCCUCCGAAAAGUAAAGCACAGGGACGCUUCAGAAGUGUUACGCCGGGCGAUGGUAGCCCCGGUUGUAAAGGACACAAUUGAGUGGAAGGUAACAUGGAUGGAGACAAGAAAAGCUGUGUGUAUCUGGAAGGAGCCCGUACCGCAAACCGACACAGGUAGAUAGGAAGAAGAUUCUAAGGCCAGCGGGAGAAGGGUUGUUAAGGAACUCGGCAAGUUGACCCCGUAACUUCGGGAGAAGGGGUGCUUACGAAGGUAAGCCGCAGAGAAUAGGCCCAAGCGACUGUUUAGCAAAAACACAGCUCUAUGCUAAAUCGAAAGAUGACGUAUAUGGGGUGACACCUGCCCGGUGCUGGAAGGUUAAGAGGAGAUGUGAGAGCAUUGAAUUGAAGCCCCAGUAAACGGCGGCCGUAACUAUAACGGUCCUAAGGUAGCGAAAUUCCUUGUCAGGUAAGUUCUGACCCGCACGAAUGGUGUAACGAUUUGGGCACUGUCUCAACAACCUACCCGGCGAAAUUGUAGUACCGGUGAAGAUGCCGAUUACCCGCGACUAGACGGAAAGACCCCAUGGAGCUUCACUGUAGCUUAAUAUUGAAUUUUGGUAUUUCAUGUACAGGAUAGGUGGGAGACUGGGAAAUACAGGCGUCAGCUUGUAUGGAGUCACUGUUGGGAUACCACUCUUGAGGUGCUGAAAUUCUAACCUGCGUCUUUGAAUCAAGACGGGGGACAUUGUUAGGUGGGCAGUUUGACUGGGGCGGUCGCCUCCAAAAGAGUAACGGAGGCGCUCAAAGGUUCGCUCAGCAUGGACGGAAACCAUGCCAAAGAGUGCAAACGCAAAAGCGAGCCUAACUGCGAGACUGACGGGUCGAGCAGUAACGAAAGUUGGAGUUAGUGAUCCGGCGGUAUGUGAGUGGAAAUGCCGUCGCUCAACGGAUAAAAGCUACCCUGGGGAUAACAGGCUGAUCUCCCCCAAGAGUCCACAUCGACGGGGAGGUUUGGCACCUCGAUGUCGGCUCAUCGCAUCCUGGGGCUGAAUUCGGUCCCAAGGGUUUGGCUGUUCGCCAAUUAAAGCGGUACGCGAGCUGGGUUCAGAACGUCGUGAGACAGUUCGGUCCCUAUCUGUCGUGGGCGUAGGAUAUUUGAAAGGAGCUGUCCCUAGUACGAGAGGACCGGGAUGGACGCACCUCUGGUGAACCAGUUGUCACGCCAGUGGCACGGCUGGGCAGCUAAGUGCGGAACGGAUAAACGCUGAAAGCAUCUAAGCGUGAAGCCGACCUUAAGAUAAGAUAUCCGUUCUUCGGAAUAAGACCCCUUGUAGACUACGAGGUUGAUAGGCUUAAAGUGUAAGCAUGGUGACAUGUUUAGCUUGCAAGUACUAAUCGGUCGAUUGCUUUUCCA